rnacentral:rRNA from 1 species
UACGUAGGGUGCAAGCGUUAUCCGGAAUGAUUGGGCGUAAAGCGUCCGCAGGUGGCUAUGUAAGUCUGCUGUUAAAGAGUGAGGCUCAACCUCAUAAAAGCAGUGGAAACUACAUGGCUAGAGUGCGUUCGGGGCAGAGGGAAUUCCUGGUGUAGCGGUGAAAUGCGUAGAUAUCAGGAAGAACACCGGUGGCGAAAGCGCUCUGCUAGGCCGCAACUGACACUGAGGGACGAAAGCUAGGGGAGCGAAUGGG